rnacentral:rRNA from 1 species
GAUGAACGCUGGCGGCGUGCCUAAUACAUGCAAGUCGAGCGAACAGAUGAGGAGCUUGCUCCUCUGACGUUAGCGGCGGACGGGUGAGUAACACGUGGAUAAUCUACCUAUAAGACUGGGAUAACUUCGGAAAACCGGAGCUAAUACCGGAUAAUAUAUUGAACCGCAUGGUUCAAUAGUGAAAGACGGUUUUGCUGUCACUUAUAGAUGGAUCCGCGCCGCAUUAGCUAGUUGGUAAGGUAACGGCUUACCAAGGCAACGAUGCGUAGCCGACCUGAGAGGGGGGUCGGCCCCACUGGAACUGAAACGCGGUCCAGACUCCUACGGGAGGCAGCAGUAGGGAAUCUUACGCAGUGGGCGAGAGCCUGACGGAGCAACGCCACGUGAGUGAUAAAAGUCUUCGGAUCGUAAAACUCUGUUAUUAGGGAAGAACAAAUGUGUAAGUAACUAUGCACGUCUUGACGGUACCUAAUCAGAAAGCAACGGCUAACUACGUG